UACGGAGGGUGCAAACGUUGCUCGGAAUUAUUGGGCGUAAAGCGCACGUAGGCGGUCCCUCAAGUCGGGUGUGAAAGCCCUCGGCUUAACCGAGGAAGUGCAUUCGAAACUAAGGGACUUGAAUACUGGAGAGGAUGGCGGAAUUCCCGGUGUAGAGGUGAAAUUCGUAGAUAUCGGGAGGAACACCAGCGGCGAAGGCGGCCAUCUGGACAGAUAUUGACGCUGAGGUGCGAAAGCGUGGGGAGCAAACGGG
rnacentral:rRNA from 1 species